rnacentral:rRNA from 1 species
CUGCUGCCUCCCGUAGGAGUCUGGGCCGUGUCUCAGUCCCAAUGUGGCCGGUCACCCUCUCAGGUCGGCUACUGAUCGUCGGCUUGGUAGGCCGUUACCCCACCAACUACCUAAUCAGACGCGGGCCCAUCUUACACCACCGGAGUUUUACCACCAAACCAUGCGGUUUUGUGGUCUUAUGCGGUAUUAGCAGUCAUUUCUAACUGUUAUCCCCCUGUGUAAGGCAGGUUGCCCACGCGUUACUCACCCGUCCGCCGCUCAGUCACAAAG